rnacentral:rRNA from 1 species
AGUGAACGCUGGCGGUAGGCCUAACACAUGCAAGUCGAACGGCAGCACAUUAAGAGCUUGCUCUUACGGGUGGCGAGUGGCGGACGGGUGAGGAAUACAUCGGAAUCUACUUUUUCGUGGGGUAUAACGUAGGGAAACUUACGCUAAUACCUCAUACGACCUACGGGUGAAAGCAGGGGAUCUUCGGACCUUGCGCGAUUGAAUGAGCCGAUGUCGUAUUAGCUAGUUGGCGGGGUAAAGGCCCACCAAGGCGACGAUCCGUAGCUGGUCUGAGAGGAUGAUGAGCCACACUGGAACUGAGACACGGUCAAGACUCAGACGGGAGGCAGCAGUGGGGAAUAUUGGAAAAUGGGAGCAAGCCUGAUCCAGCCAUACCGCGUGGGUGCAGAAGGCCUUCGGGUUGUAAAGCCCUUUUGUUGGGAAAGAAAAGCAGCAGGUUAAGACCCCGCUGUUCUGACGGUACCCAAAGAAUAAGCACCGGCUAACUUCGUG